AGAGUUUGAUUAUGGCUCAGAUUGAACGCUGGCGGCGUGCCUAACACAUGCAAGUCGAGCGGUAACAGGCGUAGCAAUACGUGCUGACGAGCGGCGAACGGGUGCGUAAUACAUGGGAAUCUGCCCUUUAGUGGGGAAUAACCCGGCGAAAGCCGGGCUAAUGCCGCAUACGAUCUUCGGAUGAAAGCGGGGGACCGUAAGGCCUCGCGCUGUUGGAUGAGCCCAUGUCGGAUUAGCUAGUUGGUGAGGUAACGGCUCACCAAGGCGACGAUCCGUAGCUGGUCUGAGAGGACGGCCAGCCACACUGGGACUGAGACACGGCCCAGACUCCUACGGGAGGCAGCAGUGGGGAAUAUUGGACAAUGGGCGAAAGCCUGAUCCAGCAGCCGCGGUAAUAA
rnacentral:rRNA from 1 species